rnacentral:rRNA from 1 species
UACAUGUGGGGCAAGCGUUGUUCGGAAUUACUGGGCGUAAAGGGUUCGUAGGUGGCCAAUUAAGUCAGACGUGAAAUCCCUCAGCUUAACUGGGGAACUGCGUCUGAGACUGGAUGGCUUGAGUGCAGGAGAGGAACGCGGAAUUCCAGGUGUAGCGGUGAAAUGCGUAGAUAUCUGGAGGAACACCGGUGGCGGAGGCGGCGUUCUGGACUGCAACUGACACUGAGGAACGAAAGCCAGGGGAGCAAACGGG